rnacentral:rRNA from 1 species
GUAGUUUGAUCCUGGCUCAGGAUGAACGCUGGCGGCGUGCUUAACACAUUCAAGUCGAACGGAGUUCAAUUGGGAGCUUGCUCCCGGCUGAACUUAGUGGCGGACGGGUGAGUAAUGCAUGAGCAACCUGCCUUCAGGAGGGGGAUAACAUCGGGAAAACCGGUGCUAAUACCGCAUAGAGCAUUUUGCAGGCAUCUGCGAGAUGGGAAAGGAGUCAAUCCGCCUGGAGAU